rnacentral:misc_RNA from 1 species
GAUGAAGAAACGCAGCGAAAUGCGAUACUUGGUGUGAAUUGCAGAAUCCCGUGAACCAUCGAGUCUUUGAACGCAAGUUGCGCCCGAAGCCAUUAGGCCGAGGGCACGCCUGCCUGGGCGUCACACGUCGUUGCCCCCCCAUCUACUCCUUCGGGAUUGCGGGGGGCGGAUGAUGGCCUCCCGUGCGCCUCGCCGCGCGGGUGGCAUAAAUGCCAAGUCCUCGGCGACGCACGCCACGACAAUCGGUGGUUGCGAAACCUCGGUUGCCCGUCGUGUGCGGUCGUCGCGCAUCGAGGGCUCGAAAAAAUUGCCGGGUUCCGGCUCGGCUUUCAACGCGACCCCAGGUCAGGCGGGGUUACCCGCUGAAUUUAAGCAUAUCAAUAAGCGGAGGA